rnacentral:rRNA from 1 species
UACGUAGGUGGCAAGCGUUGUCCGGAAUUAUUGGGCGUAAAGCGCGCGCAGGCGGCCUCCUAAGUCCGAUGUGAAAGCCCACGGCUCAACCGUGGAGGGUCAUUGGAAACUGGGGGACUUGAGUGCAGGAGAGAAGAGUGGAAUUCCACGUGUAGCGGUGAAAUGCGUAGAGAUGUGGAGGAACACCAGUGGCGAAGGCGGCGACCUGGGCCAAUAUUGACGCUGAGGUGCGAAAGCGUGGGGAGCAAACAGG